rnacentral:tRNA from 1 species
GCCCGGGUGGUGAAAUUGGUAGACACAACGGACUUAAAAUCCGUCGGGGAGCGAUCUCCGUACCGGUUCGAUUCCGGUCCUGGGCACCA